AUUGAACGCUGGCGGCAUGCCUUACACAUGCAAGUCGAACGGCAGCGGACCUUCGGGUGCCGGCGAGUGGCGAACGGGUGAGUAAUGUAUCGGAACGUGCCCAUUAGUGGGGGAUAACUAUCCGAAAGGAUAGCUAAUACCGCAUAUUCUGUGAGCAGGAAAGCGGGGGAUCUUCGGACCUCGCGCUAAUGGAGCGGCCGAUAUCAGAUUAGCUAGUUGGUGGGGUAAAAGCCUACCAAGGCGACGAUCUGUAGCGGGUCUGAGAGGAUGAUCCGCCACACUGGGACUGAGACACGGCCCAGACUCCUACGGGAGGCAGCAGUGGGGAAUUUUGGACAAUGGGGGCAACCCUGAUCCAGCCAUGCCGCGUGAGUGAAGAAGGCCUUCGGGUUGUAAAGCUCUUUCGGACGGGAAGAAAUCGUGCAGGCUAAUAUCCUGCGCGGAUGACGGUACCGUAAUAAGAAGCACCGGCUAACUACGUGCCAGCCGCCGCGGUAAAAC
rnacentral:rRNA from 1 species